rnacentral:rRNA from 1 species
GACGAACGCUGGCGGCGUGCUUAACACAUGCAAGUCGAACGGAAAGGCCCUGCUUGCCGGGUACUCGAGUGGCGAACGGGUGAGUAACACGUGGGUGAUCUGCCCUGCACUUCGGGAUAAGCCUGGGAAACUGGGUCUAAUACCGGAUAGGAGCCAUUUUUAGUGUGAUGGUUGGAAAGUUUUUUCGGUGUAGGAUGAGCUCGCGGCCUAUCAGCUUGUUGGUGGGGUAAUGGCCUACCAAGGCGGCGACGGGUAGCCGGCCUGAGAGGGUGGACGGCCACAUUGGGACUUAGAUACGGCCCAGACUCCUACGGGGGGCAGCAGUGGGGAAUAUUGCACAAUGGGCGCAAGCCUGAUGCAGCGACGCCGCGGGGGGGAUGACGGCCUUCGGGUUGGAAACUCCUUUCGCUAGGGACGAAGCUUUUUGUGACGGUACCUAGAGAAGAAGCACCGGCUAACUACGUG